GAUGAAGAACGCAGCGAAAUGCGAUACUUGGUGUGAAUUGCAGAAUCCCGUGAACCAUCGAGUCUUUGAACGCAAGUUGCGCCCGAAGCCAUUAGGCCGAGGGCACGCCUGCCUGGGCGUCACACGUCGUUGCCCCCCCAUCUACUCCUUCGGGAUUGCGGGGGGCGGAUGAUGGCCUCCCGUGCGCCUCGUCGCGCGGUUGGCAUAAAUGCCAAGACCUCGGCGACGCACGCCACGACAAUCGGUGGUUGCGAAACCUCGGUUGCCCGUCGUGUGCGGUCGUCGCGCAUCGAGGGCUCGAAAAAAUUGCCGGGCUCCGGCUCGGCUUUCAACGCGACCCCAGGUCAGGCGGGGUUACCCGCUGAAUUUAAGCAUAUCAAUAAGCGGAGGA
rnacentral:misc_RNA from 1 species